AUUUCAACUGUUAGGGCUUCGUGAAAAGACAAACCAAUCCUGUAAAAUACAUUGUAGAAUGAGAUCCCGUUUUGUAAGAGUGUUUACAUGAUUGUAGGGUUUGGAUUCCUUUGACAUUCUCUCUGUUAGCGUCUACGUUGUUUCCUAGCUACUGGGGUUAGGAUUAGGAACGGGGUUAAAGUUAAGGACUGGGCAAGUGUUAGGGUUAGGAUUAGGUUAGGAUUAUGGUUAAGGUUGGGAUUAGGUUAGGAUUAGGGUUAAGGUUGGGGUUAAGGUUAGGUUAGGAUUGGGGUUAAGGUUGGGGUUAGGAUUAGGUUAGGAUUAGGGUUAAGGUUGGGAUUAGGUUAGGAUUAGGGUUAGGGUUAAGGUUGGGGUUAGGUUAGGUUAGGAUUGGGGUUAAAGUUAAGGACUGGGCAAGUGUUAGGGUUAGGAUUAGGUUAGGAUUAUGGUUAAGGUUGGGAUUAGGUUAGGAUUAGGGUUAAGGUUGGGGUUAAGGUUAGGUUAGGAUUAGGUUAGGAUUAGGGUUAAGGUUGGGAUUAGGUUAGGAUUAGGGUUAGGGUUAAGGUUGGGGUUAGGUUAGGUUAGGAUUGGGGUUAAAGUUAAGGACUGGGCAAGUGUUAGGGUUAGGAUUAGGUUAGGAUUAUGGUUAAGGUUGGGAUUAGGUUAGGAUUAGGGUUAAGGUUGGGGUUAAGGUUAGGAUUAGGUUAGGAUUAGGGUUAAGGUUGGGAUUAGGUUAGGAUUAGGGUUAGGGUUAAGGUUGGGGUUAGGUUAGGUUAGGAUUGGGGUUAAAGUUAAGGACUGGGCAAGUGUUAGGGUUAGGAUUAGGUUAGGAUUAGGGUUAAAUUUGGGGUUAGGUUAGGUUAGGAUUGGGAUUAAAGUUAAGGACUGGGCAAGUGUUAGGGUUAGGAUUAGGGUUAAGGUUGGGAUUAGGUUAGGAUUAGGGUUAAGGUUGAGGUUAAGGCUGAAGCUCAGGGUUAGGAUUAAGGUUAUGGUUGGGGAGGUGGGGGUAAAAUGGGGUAUUAGAAAGGCACCGAAAGGUUGCAAGAUCGAGUC
ensembl:lncRNA